rnacentral:rRNA from 1 species
UACGUAGGGGGCAAGCGUUGUCCGGAAUUACUGGGCGUAAAGGGCUCGUAGGCGGCCAACUAAGUCAUACGUGAAAUCCCUCAGCUUAACUGGGGAACUGCGUGUGAUACUGGAUGGCUUGGAUUUGGGAGAGGGAUGCGGAAUUCCAGGUGUAGCGGUGAAAUGCGUAGAUAUCUGGAGGAACACCGGUGGCGAAGGCGGCAUCCUGGACCAAUAUUGACGCUGAGGCGCGAAAGCGUGGGGAGCAAACAGG